rnacentral:rRNA from 1 species
ACAGAGGGUGCAAGCGUUAAUCGGAAUUACUGGGCGUAAAGCGUGCGUAGGCGGUUUCGUAAGUCGGAUGUGAAAGCCCCGGCUCAACCUGGGAAUUGCAUUCGAGACUGCGAAGCUCGAGUGCGGAAGAGGGAAGUGGAAUUUCCGGUGUAGCGGUGAAAUGCGUAGAUAUCGGAAGGAACAUCAGUGGCGAAAGCGACUUCCUGGUCCAGCACUGACGCUCAGGCACGAAAGCGUGGGGAGCAA